UUUACACCCCGCCACUCCUGAGCACCGCACACCGGCUUCCUCCCAGUCCCUCAUCUGAGAACUCAUGAAGCCACUUGGAAUCCCUCUCUGCUUUGCCUGGCUCAUUCCAUGUCAAUUUCAGAUCUUCACUUCAGGUCAGCUCCAAGGAGGCUAUCCUUGCCCAUCUUCCUAAAAUAGAGCUCUCAAAACCUGGCUGUUUUCCUUCAGAGCACUGGCCUCCAAUUUAAAUCCCAAGUAAGGUACCUGCCGUCGGCAGAUUUGAGCUUUCUUCUUGGACACCUAAUACCCAGAGUCCUCCAGGCUCCGGUAGAUUGCAAAUGACCUGCUUUCUUUCUGUUCCCGGGCGGCAUCGGACCCGUCGGAGAGUAAAUCCCAAGUAAGGUACCUGCCGUUGGCAGAUUUG
ensembl:lncRNA TPT1-AS1 TPT1 antisense RNA 1